rnacentral:rRNA from 1 species
UACGUAGGGUGCAGGCGUUAAUCGGAAUUACUGGGCGUAAAGCGUGCGCAGGCGGUCUUUUAAGUCAGAUGUGAAAUCCCCGGGCUUAACCUGGGAACUGCGUUUGAAACUGAAAGGCUAGAGUGUGGCAGAGGGGGGUGGAAUUCCGCGUGUAGCAGUGAAAUGCGUAGAGAUGCGGAGGAACACCGGUGGCGAAGGCGGCUUCCUGGACCGACACUGACGCUGAGGCGCGAAAGCUAGGGGAGCAAACGGG